rnacentral:rRNA from 1 species
CCUACGGGGGUCUGCAGUGAGGAAUAUUGGUCAAUGGGCGCGAGCCUGAACCAGCCAAGUCGCGUGAAGGAUGACUGCUCUAUGGUUUGUAAACUUCUUUUAUAAAGGAAUAAAGUUAUGCACGUGUGCCUAUUUGUAUGUACUUUAUGAAUAAGGAUCGGCUAACUCCGUGCCAGCAGCCGCGGUAAUACGGAGGAUCCGAGCGUUAUCCGGAUUUAUUGGGUUUAAAGGGUGCGUAGAUUGUUUGUUAAGUCAGUUGUGAAAGUUUGCGGCUCAACCAUAAAAUUGCAGUUGAUACUGGAAGACUUGAGUACAGUUGAGGUAGGCGGAAUGCGUGGUGUAGCGGUGAAAUGCAUAGAUAUCACGAAGAACUCCGAUUGCGAAGGCAGUUUACUAGGCUGCAACUGACACUGAGGCUCGAAAGUGUGGGGAUCAAACAGGAUUAGAUACCCCGGUAGUC